rnacentral:snRNA from 1 species
GUGCUUGCUUUGGCAGCACAUAUACUAAAAUUGGAACGAUACAGAGAAGAUUAGCAUGGCCCCUGCACAAGGAUGACACGCAAAUUCGUGAAGCAAAGUAAGAGAAC